rnacentral:lncRNA from 1 species
GGAGGAAGUGGAGGAGGAGGAAGGAGAGAAUGACCUUGGAGAUCCAGCUGUCCUCAGCGCUGUCCAUAACACCCAGAAAGGUCUUCUCAGCUCCCCUGGAAUCAAGGCCUCUGGUGUCCUGGGGAUGUCACCUGCCUCCUUGCACUUUCAGUGGCAGCCUGCCUUUCCCAGUGCCAGCUCUCCCACCAAGUACUUUGGACCUCCACUGCCCUCGCCAGACCCACCUCUCCUCGGCAGCCCAUCGACCUCGUGGCCCCUUAGGCUCAGUUUUCCCAGUCAUCUGACCCAGCUCCACCCUCAGCACCAGCGGAUCUUGAAGCAGCAGCAAUCUAGUCAACCACCAAGGUAAAGCUUAGAGGAGAAUUAGGGUUUGGGGGAGCCCCCUGCAUGCUGAGUUCCCUUGUUCCUUCUUCUGGGAUGCCUUCCCCAUAGCCCUGCCAGCAAAGCCUCCCAUACAGUGGCCCACCUCUGCACUCCCUCCCAUCCUUCUUGACAUCCUGCUCCCUGCUCACCACUUCUUGGAGAGUUUGCUGUUGGAGGGGUUUAAAUUCUAACAGGACACUUGGCCUGGCUUGAAGUUCCCCAGCCAAGGAGCCUUGGUCUCAGCAGCCAGACCCUUAUGCUAACCUCAUGAGCCAAAAAGAGAAGGACUGGGUGGUAAAAGUGCAGAUGGUUCAGCUGCAGAGUGAGAACCCCCGCCUGGAUGACUAUUACUACCAGGUGAGCCCAGGGGCCCUGCACAACCUCUGAUCUUGGGAUCAAGUGGGCCUGACUUCAUGCGUCCUCAGAGAUUCUCCCUUCAGCUCACCAGGGCCAUGUGCCUUCAGGUGGGAGAGAUGAUUGCUAACAGAUGGGGGCUGUAUUUCUACAGCUGAUUUCCAAACUCCUUCCUCUUCUACUCCUACAUUUCAGCCAAAUGGGAUUAUUUAUGAUUCCCCAAACACACUCUGAGGUUUUUGUCUCCAUCCUUUGCCAGGCAUUUCCCCUCUUCAGUCUUCAAAUGAGGACUUUCUCAUGUGGGUACACUUUGGUUUGUCUUGGAAAUGACUUGUUUUAAAUAUCCAUCUACUUUUACUUUUUAAGAUCUAAAACACAAAAGAAGUAAUAAGCGGUGGGGUUCAAAUUUCUUGAACACAUGCUGGCAGGCUUUGGGACUCCUUUCUGCCUGCUUCCUAUCUGCCCUUUGUCCAUGAGUUUAUGAAUUGCCUACAUUCAACUCCAGAGGCCCCUGUCAAGGUUCCCACCUUUUAGCUCCUUCUUCUGGAUAGUAGUUUCUUCCUUUGUUUGCACCAGGCUUCCAAACUCUUCUCCUUCUGGGAGUUCCCUGGCGGUCUAUUGGUAAGAUUCUGCACAUUCACCACUGCAGCCUGGCAAUCCCUGCUCUGGGAGCUGAGAUCCCACAUCAAGGUGUUGCAAGGUGCAGCCCGAAGAAAAAAAAAGAAAAAA